AAGAUUAUACUUUCGGGGGUCAUUUCUAUAGUUUGUUACUAGAGAAGUUUCUCUGAAUGUGUAGAGUACCGGAAACCACGAGAAGAAGGUGUGGUGUUCUUUCCUGAGUGUGAAGCUGACUCUGGGUGUUGUUUCCACAGCUACUUUUUGUCAUUGAUGAUAGUUCUUUCUCUUUUGGGGGAGUUAGAGGGAAAGGACUCCGUCUGAGUGGU
ensembl:snoRNA U3 Small nucleolar RNA U3